rnacentral:rRNA from 1 species
GAUGAACGCUGGCGGCGUGCCUAAUACAUGCAAGUCGAGCGAACGGACGAGAAGCUUGCUUUUCUGAUGUUAGCGGCGGACGGGUGAGUAACACGUGGAUAACCUACCUAUAAGACUGGGAUAACUUCGGGAAACCGGAGCUAAUACCGGAUAAUAUUUUGAACCGCAUGGUUCAAAAGUGAAAGACGGUCUUGCUGUCACUUAUAGAUGGAUCCGCGCUGCAUUAGCUAGUUGGUAAGGUAACGGCUUACCAAGGCAACGAUGCAUAGCCGACCUGAGAGGGUGAUCGGCCACACUAGAACGGGGACACGGUCCAGACGCCUACGGGAGGCAGCAGUAGGGAAUCUUCCGCAAUAGGCGAAAGCCUGACGGAACAACGCCGCGUGAGUGAUGAAGGUCUUCGGAUCGGAAAACUCUGUUAUUAGGGAAGAACAUAUGUGUAAGUAACUGUGCACAUCGUGACGGUACCUAAUCAGAAAGCCACGGCUAACUACGUG